rnacentral:misc_RNA from 1 species
UCUCCGUUGGUGAACCAGCGGAGGGAUCAUUACUGAGUUUACAACUCCCAAACCCCUGUGAACAUACCUAUCGUUGGCUUGGCGGUGCCCGCUCCGGCCGCCCGCCAGAGGACCCCCACACUCUUGUGUUAGACAGUAUCUUCUGAGUAACACGCUAAAAUAAAUCAAAACUUUCAACAACGGAUCUCUUGGUUCUG